rnacentral:rRNA from 2 species
UGCAGUCGAACGGUAACAGGUCUUCGGAUGCUGACGAGUGGCGGACGGGUGAGUAACGCGUAGGAAUCUGCCCAUCUGUGGGGGAUACCAGUUGGAAACGACUGUUAAUACCGCAUAAUAUCUGCGGAUUAAAGGUGGCCUUUGCGCUGCCGCAGAUGGAUGAGCCUGCGUUGGAUUAGCUAGUUGGUGGGGUAAGGGCCUACCAAGGCUACGAUCCAUAGCUGAUUUGAGAGGAUGAUCAGCCACAUUGGGACUGAGACACGGCCCAAACUCCUACGGGAGGCAGCAGUGGGGAAUAUUGGACAAUGGGGGAAACCCUGAUCCAGCAAUGCCAUGUGUGUGAAGAAGGCUCUAGGGUUGUAAAGCACUUUAGUUGGGGAGGAAAGCCUGUGAGUUAAUAGCUUGCAGGAAGGACGUUGCCCAAAGAAUAAGGACCGGCUAACUCCGUGCCAGCAGCCGCGGUAAUACGGGGGGUCCGAGCGUUAAUCGGAAUUACUGGGCGUAAAGGGUCUGUAGGUGGUUUGUUAAGUCAGAUGUGAAAGCCCAGGGCUCAACCUUGGAACUGCAUUUGAUACUGACAAACUAGAGUAUGGUAGAGGAAUAGGGAACUUCUGGUGUAGCGGUGAAAUGCGUAGAGAUCAGAAGGAACACCAAUGGCGAAGGCAACAUUCUGGACCAAUACUGACACUGAGGGACGAAAGCGUGGGGAUCAAACAGGAUUAGAUACCCUGGUAGUCCACGCUGUAAACGAUGAGUACUAGCUGUUGGAUUCGGUGUAAAGGAUCUAGUGGCGCAGCUAACGCGUUAAGUACUCCGCCUGGGGACUACGGCCGCAAGGCUAAAACUCAAAGGAAUUGACGGGGACCCGCACAAGCGGUGGAGCAUGUGGUUUAAUUCGAUGCAACGCGAAGAACCUUACCUGGUCUUGACAUCCUGCGAACUUUCUAGAGAUAGAUUGGUGCCUUCGGGAACGCAGUGACAGGUGCUGCACGGCUGUCGUCAGCUCGUGUUGUGAAAUGUUGGGUUAAGUCCCGCAACGAGCGCAACCCCUAUUGAUAGUUACCAUCAUUAAGUUGGGUACUCUAUUGAGACUGCCGCUGACAAGGCGGAGGAAGGUGGGGACGACGUCAAGUCAUCAUGGCCCUUACGACCAGGGCUACACACGUGCUACAAUGGGUAUUACAGAGGGCUGCGAAGGUGCGAGCUGGAGCGAAACUCAGAAAGGUACUCUUAGUCCGGAUUGCAGUCUGCAACUCGACUGCAUGAAGUCGGAAUCGCUAGUAAUCGCAGGUCAGAAUACUGCGGUGAAUACGUUCCCGGGUCUUGUACACACCGCCCGUCACACCAUGGGAGUGGGUUGCUCCAGAAGUAGAUAGCUUAACGAAUGGGCGUUUACCACGGAGUGAUUCAUAAC